CAAUAGCGUAUAUUUAAGUUGUUGCAGUUAAAAAGCUCGUAGUUGGAUUUCGGUUAAGAGCGACCGGUCCGCCGUUUGAUGUGCACUGGUUGGUUUUAACUUCCUGUAGAGGACGUGCUCUGGGUUUAACGACCUGGACUCGGAGUCUACGUGGUUACUUUGAAAAAAUUAGAGUGUUCAAAGCGGGCUUACGCUUGAAUAUUUCAGCAUGGAAUAACACUAUAGGACUCCUGUCCUAUUUCGUUGGUCUCGGGACGGGAGUAAUGAUUAAGAGGAACAGUUGGGGGCAUUCGUAUUUCAUUGUCAGAGGUGAAAUUCUUGGAUUUAUGAAAGACGAACUUCUGCGAAAGCAUUUGCCAAGGAUGUUUUCAUUAA
rnacentral:rRNA from 1 species